GAUGAACGCUGGCGGCGUGCCUAAUACAUGCAAGUCGAGCGAACAGACGAGGAGCUUGCUCCUCUGACGUUAGCGGCGGACGGGUGAGUAACACGUGGAUAACCUACCUAUAAGACUGGGAUAACUUCGGGAAACCGGAGCUAAUACCGGAUAAUAUAUUGAACCGCAUGGUUCAAUAGAGAAAGACGGUUUUGCUGUCACUUAUAGAUGGAUCCGCGCCGCAUUAGCUAGUUGGUAGGGUAACGGCUUACCAAGGCAACGAUGCGUAGCCGACCUGAGAGGGUGGUAGGCCACACUGGAGCUGAGACACGGACCAGAGGCCUACGGGAGGCAGCAGUAGGGAAUCUUCCGCAAUGGGCGAAAGCCUGACGGAGCAACGCCGCGUGAGUGAUGAAGGUCUUCGGAGCGUAAAACUCUGUUAUUAGGGAAGAACAAAUGUGUAAGUAACUAUGCACGUCUUGACGGUACCUAAUCAGAAAGCCACGGCUAACUACGUG
rnacentral:rRNA from 1 species